GAGAGAGAGAGAGAGAGAGAGAGAGAGAGAGAGAGAGAGACGGGCAGCCAAAUGAUAAAAAAGGCUUAUUCUAUUCUGUGUGUGUGUGUGUGUGUGUGUGUGUGUGUGUGUGUGUGUGUGUGUGUGUGUGUUUACCUAUUUGUAGUACAUAUACAGGGCCUGAGCUCAAGCUGGGAUCGUCCUGUCUCCUAAGCUAUACUUGUCAAGCUCUUUCUUUAUUAUAUGGACACUGCCCGCUACAACAGUGCCUUUGUUAGUCCGUUUAGUCCAUAUGUCCACACUCCUGAAUGGAAAACUGUACCUCCUUAUAUCUGUCAAACAAGUACCUUCUGUUAAUUCCUUGCUGUGUUCUCUUAGUUGCUUCCUCCCUUCCGUCUCGGUUAACCUGGUAGCUGCGGGGGUAAUUUUUCUUAUGUUAUGUUAGGUUAUGUUAGGUUAUGUUAUGUUAUGUUAGGUUAUGUUAUGUUAUGUUAGGUUAUGUUAGGUUAGGUUAGGUUAGGUUAGGUUAGGUUAGGUUAGGUUAGGUUAGGUUAGGUUAGGUUAGGUUAGGUUAGGUUAGGUUAGGUUAGGUUAGGUUAGGUUAGGUUAGGUUAGGUUAGGUUAGGUUAGGUUAGGUUAGGUUAGGUUAGGUUAGGUUAGGUUAGGUUAGGUUAGGUUAGGUUAGGUUAGGUUAGGUUAGGUUAGGUUAGAUUAGGUUAGGUUAGGUUAGAUUAGGUUAAGUUAGGUUAAACGUCCCUCUAAGUAAAAUAAUGAGAAAGAAUCAUCACUCACGCAAGCCAUUUCAUGAUAUACAUCAACGCAUGUGUGAUCAAUGUAUGCAUCAUCUAUUUUGGGGGAUUAUAUCAUGGCAGAAAUUUGGCCCAUUGCUGCUACACGGUAAAGCCACAAAUUUGGCCCGUCGCUGCUACACGGGUUAAAUCAUUUCAACCCAACACGUCCAUUCCACUUGUGUUUCCCUACAACGCAAGCAGGUUUCAUCUUCCUCUUCUUGCUUCAAAUAUUGGAAGGCCUAGAUCCUGCAGUCUACCCUCACAGGACAGCCUAGCACCAUCUUAGUUGCAAUCCUUUGAAUCCUCUCGAGUUUCGUCAUGUGUGGGGACCAGACAACCGCUGCAUGAUCUAGCUUUUGUCUAAUCAAUGUAAUUAUUAUUUUCUUCAUCGUCUCCCUAUCUACAAAGUGAAAUACCACUCUAAUAUUUUGCAGCAAACUAUGGUUGGUAUUAUAAGAUACUAUCGCUUCUCACAUUAACAAUUUCUAAAGGUUAAAGACGGGGGUCAUUCGAGUUCUAAUAAGUGUUUCCUUAAGUUCAUGGUACAGAGGAAGGGUGACACUACCACCAGGGUCAUGAAACUACUCCUGGAAAUGCCCACAACUCCUACGAAAGCCUUGUCGAAUGUGCGUUUCUUUAGGUUCAUGGUACAGAGGAAGGGUCACACUACCACCAGGGUCAUGAAACUACUCUUGGAAAUGCCCACAACUCCUACGAAAGCCUUGUCAAAUGUGUGUUUCUUUAGCUUCAUGGUACAGAGGAAGGGUCAAACUAACACCAGGGUCAUGAAACUACUCCUGGAAAUGCCCACAACUCCUACGAAAGCCUUGUCAAAUGUGUGUUUCUUUAGGCUCACGGUACAGAAAAAGGGUCACACUACCACCAGGGUCAUGAAACUACCCCUGGAAAUGCCCACAACUCCUACGAAAGCCUUGUCAAAUAUGUGAUCUUGGGCGGCGAAAUGUCUUUUAAUACGAGCCAUAGGAUUGCAAAUAAGACGGUACCAGAACUACCAAGCCUAUCAAAUGAGGGUAGAUUGGAGAAACAGGGUCAACCAACACUCGAAGAAAGUAGAGAAAGAGGAGACCUAAGAGCCUUGUACAGGAACAGAAGUAGAAUGUACGAGUUGGGUAGAAAUGCUGCUAUCGUGUG